rnacentral:rRNA from 1 species
UACGUAGGGGGCAAGCGUUGUCCGGAAUUAUUGGGCGUAAAGAGCGUGUAGGCGGUCCGGUAAGUCAGCUGUGAAAGUCAAGGGCUCAACCCCUUGAAUGCCGGUUGAUACUGUCGGGCUAGAGUCCGGAAGAGGCGAGUGGAAUUCCCGGUGUAGCGGUGAAAUGCGCAGAUAAUCGGGAGGAACACCAAUGGCGAAGGCAGCUCGCUGGGACGGUACUGACGCUGAGACGCGAAAGCGUGGGGAGCAA